GGAACUUUGAGGAUCAUGAAGGAGAGAAUCAUGAAGAAGAAGGUUCCUGUGGAGAGAGGGUCGCUGCUGUAAGAGGAGCCGAGUUACCGUUGCCAGCAAGAUGUAAAAAUUUGGAGGGAAGCCUGCAGAUCAUACAGAGAUUAUGGUGAUGGCCUGUCACACAGGGGAUGAGAAAGAAAUUGAUGAAAAGGUGAAGCCUCAUUGCUGUGUAGAUCCCUUUCUGUGUAAUAUGGUGACCUCUACUUCCAUGCCCACAUACUGCUUUAUAGCUCUUACUGGAGGAAAAAGAUGUUUGAUGAAUGACAUCCAUACCUGACCCAAAAGGAGAACAUUCAAACCUGUCAUGCUGUUGAGUAUCAAGUGAGAAACUGCUUCGGGGGCGGUAAAGUGAUCAUUGAUGGGAUGACAAUAACUUUCAAAUAUAAUGGGUGCUUUUUCCAUGGUUUUAUCGGAUGCCACCAUGAAAAUGACUGGGACCAUCCACUGGGGAUGAAGCAAAAGAUGGAUGGCUUAAUGAAAGCAGGGUUUACCAUCAGAUUCAGAUGGGAGCACAAGUGAGCUGCUGUGAAGAGAAACAUAUAGGGAGCUCAUGGUCUUAGCCAGGACCAAACUCUCCAGGCCCUUACCCCCAGAAAUGUUUUCUGGUAGCAGGAAAAUGCCACUUGUUUGUACUACAAAGCAGCCCCUGAUGAAAAGAUACACUGAGCACCUACUUUAGGAUGGUAACAAUAAAGGUGUUCUUAACAUGGCUCUUUGCCCUAGGGCUUCUCAUGGGCAUGAAUGGCAAAUUAUUACUAUUUUCCCUAUCUGAAACCUGCCAGGCCUGCUGCUGAUGAAUGGAACUCCCUUGCAGUUGCCUGGUACACCCUGGAACUGAACAAGACUCUGGGGCAGGGUUACAGCUGUGAAACCUGUGAGGUCUGGCAUUUUGAAUAGAGAGGCAGCAGCCUUUCCUUGGAUUACAUAAGGAUAUGCCUCUGCCAGAAGCAGGAAGCUUUAGGCUGCCCAGCCUGGUGUGCAGAUGCAGACAAACCCUGCUACAUAUGCUACAGAUUACAAGCAGAAAGAUGCUGUUUUGUAGCUUGAGCCUGUUAAGUAAGGAGUUGCAUGGUUAUUACUUCACCCCAGCUUCUGAUGUGCCCUCCUGUGACUUGUCCAUGAGGAUGCACCCCAAAGGAUGUGUGUCCCUGAUUUCCAAGACUGUCAUUUCAAGUUUUCUUGCCCCUGCAUGCUUGUGCCUACAGCUAUUUAAACCCUCACACAUCCUGCAUGACUUUGCCUUUACCACAGCAUACAGGCUCUGGGACAAUCCUGAGUCACCCAGGGGAUUCCUCCAGACAAAAACUAUUUUCCAGGCAUGCCCUGAACCACUUUGGCAGAGAUGGCACUUUGCUAAUGUUAUGACAGAAGAAGAAAAGGCUCCAUUAUAGAUUUUUCCAGGCUAU